UACGAAGGGGGCUAGCGUUGUUCGGAAUUACUGGGCGUAAAGGGCGCGUAGGCGGCCUGCUAAGUCGAACGUGAAAUCCCCGGGCUCAACCCGGGAACUGCGUCCGAUACUGGCAGGCUUGAAUCCGGGAGAGGGAUGUGGAAUUCCAGGUGUAGCGGUGAAAUGCGUAGAUAUUCGGAAGAACACCAGUGGCGAAGGCGGCUCACUGGUCCGGUACUGACGCUGAGGUGCGAAAGCGUGGGGAGCAAACAGG
rnacentral:rRNA from 1 species